AUUGAACGCUGGCGGCAUGCCUUACACAUGCAAGUCGAACGGCAGCACGGGGCAACCUGGUGGCGAGUGGCGAACGGGUGAGUAAUGCAUCGGAACGUACCUUUCAGUGGGGGAUAACGUAGCGAAAGUUACGCUAAUACCGCAUAUUCUGUGAGCAGGAAAGCAGGGGAUCGCAAGACCUUGCGCUGAUUGAGCGGCCGAUGUCAGAUUAGCUAGUUGGUGAGGUAAAGGCUCACCAAGGCGACGAUCUGUAGCGGGUCUGAGAGGAUGAUCCGCCACACUGGAACUGAGACACGGUCCAGACUCCUACGGGAGGCAGCAGUGGGGAAUUUUGGACAAUGGGGGCAACCCUGAUCCAGCCAUGCCGCGUGAGUGAAGAAGGCCUUCGGGUUGUAAAGCUCUUUCAGCCGGGAAGAAAUCGCACGGGCUAAUACCCUGUGUGGAUGACGGUACCAGAAUAAGAAGCACCGGCUAACUACGUGCCAGCCGCCGCGGUAAUAC
rnacentral:rRNA from 1 species